rnacentral:rRNA from 1 species
UACGUAGGGUGCAAGCGUUGUCCGGAAUUAUUGGGCGUAAAGAGCUCGUAGGCGGUUUGUCGCGUCUGCUGUGAAAACUCAGGGCUUAACUCUGAGCUUGCAGUGGGUACGGGCAGACUAGAGUGCGGUAGGGGGAGACUGGAAUUCCUGGUGUAGCGGUGAAAUGCGCAGAUAUCAGGAGGAACACCGGUGGCGAAGGCGGGUCUCUGGGCCGUAACUGACGCUGGAGGAGCGGAAAGCAUGGGGAGCGAACAGG